rnacentral:rRNA from 1 species
GAUGAACGCUAGCUACAGGCUUAACACAUGCAAGUCGAGGGACCGGCGCACGGGUGAGUAACACGUAUCCAACCUGCCCUUUACUCGGGGCUAGCUUUUCGAAAGAAAGAUUAAUACCCGAUCUAAUGGAUGGGGAUGCGUUCCAUUAGGUUGUUGGUGAGGUAACGGCCCACCAAGCCUUCGAUGGAUAGGGGUUCUGAGUGGCAGGUCCCCCACAUUGGAGCUGAGGCACGGUCCAAACUCCUACGGGAGGCAGCAGUGAGGAAUAUUGGUGAAUGGGCGCUAGCCUGAACCAGCCAAGUAGCGGGAAGGAUGAAGGCUUAUGGGUCGUAAACUUCUUUUAUAUAAGAAUAUGUAUUAUAUGAAUAAGGAUCGGCUAACUCCGUGCCAGCAGCCGCGGUAAUAC